AGCAGGGGGAAGGAAAACCCAUCUUCUUCAAACCCUACUUCAAGAAAUCUCAAAAAUUGAAGUGUUGUAAAUCAAGAAUCAGUUGCAUGAACCCAAAAACUCCUUAAUCUAAGUCCAUUCAACAAGAAGGGCGUGAAAGAAGAAGGCUCAAACACUAAGAGAACGGGAGACUCUCAAGAUCGAGGUAAAUCCUCAAUCUAGGCGGUUGGACGAUAUGGAAUGAGCACACUUGAUCUACGCCCACUACACACUUCCGUCAUAAGUUAAUAUAACGUGGUCUAAACUUUUGGUCUUAUGUACUUUAAGUUGUGUAGAAUGUUGAUGUCUUAAUGGUUUGGUUAAAACUUAUUAGUGCAAGUAUUGUCGUAAACAACUUAAACGUUC